rnacentral:rRNA from 1 species
GAUGAACGCUGGCGGCGUGCUUAACACAUGCAAGUCGAACGGAAAGGCUCCUGCUUGCAGGGGUACUCGAGUGGCGAACGGGUGAGUAACACGUGGGUGAUCUACCCCGCACUUCGGGAUAAGCCUGGGAAACUGGGUCUAAUACCGGAUAGGACGAUGGUUUGGAUGCCAUUGUGGAAAGUUUUUUCGGUGUGGGAUGAGCUCGCGGCCUAUCAGCUUGUUGGUGGGGUAAUGGCCUACCAAGGCGUCGACGGGUAGCCGGCCUGAGAGGGUGUACGGCCACAUUGGGACUGAGAUACGGCCCAGACUCCUACGGGAGGCAGCAGUGGGGAAUAUUGCACAAUGGGCGCAAGCCUGAUGCAGCGACGCCGCGUGGGGGAUGACGGCCUUCGGGUUGUAAACUCCUUUCGCUAGGGACGAAGCGCAAGUGACGGUACCUGGAGAAGAAGCACCGGCUAACUACGUG